GGAGCGCGGCGCGGGAGCGGGGCGGAGCCACGGCCCUGAUCACGUGGUUCGGGCGUGAGUUGUGUGGCGCGGUGAAGCGCGAACCCGGAACCGCCAAGUGGUGAAGGCGCGUCAAGGCGGUGCCCGCUAGUCUCUAGGGUGUCGGCGGCGCUGUUCUCCUGCGAUACUGGAGCUCACAAAAUACUCGGUCCUCAGGCCGAGAACGCACCUCUAGCUGGGUCCUGGGCCCCAUUUCACAGACUGAGAUGCGUAAAGCGCCUCCUUUAGAAGAACUGACGAUUCUUAGCAAACGAAGUUUUGCAUGAUUUUGGUGAGGCCGCGCUGCCCCAAGAACGCCUGGAGGGCCUGCACCACCAAACUGGACAGCCAUGGAUGUGUAACCUCUUGUUGGGCCUGAGAGACAGACCUUUCUUUCCACUGAGCUCCUGCUUCAGCUAUUGUACUUCCGAAUGCCUCUACCAUCAGAUAUGCCAUCUACAGAACAUAACACCUGAGCACCUACCCUUCAGGGCCACCCAGGUAUGGCAUCCCAUGCACCCAAAACGGGAUAAAGGAGCCAUUCCCUGACAUAGAAGGAAAACAUUUACUGAGAAGCUACUGUGUGCCAGACACAAUCUUGGACUUUCACUUAAUCCUCAAAACAGCACUAUGAAGAAGUAGCUACCGUUAACAGAUAAGAAAGCUGAGACCCACGGUUUCCACAGCUAAGGAGAGCAAAGGUUUUAACCCAGGACUGUCUUGACUCCACAACAGCAAAAUUGUUGUUUUGUUUUUGGUGUUUUGUAGAAAUAGGAUCUCCCUAUUAUUACCCAGGCUGGUCUCAAACUCCUGGGCUCCAGCAGUCCUCCCACCUCAGCCUCCCAAAGUGCUGGGAUUACAGGCAAGAGCCGCCACACCUGGCUGAAUAGGAAUUGGGUAAACAUUUUUGAAAAUUAAAUACCAAAUUACCAUUGCACAAUGCCAAA